rnacentral:rRNA from 1 species
UACGAAGGGGGCUAGCGUUGUUCGGAAUCACUGGGCGUAAAGCGCACGUAGGCGGACUGUUAAGUCAGGGGUGAAAUCCUGGGGCUCAACCCCAGAACUGCCUUUGAUACUGGCGGUCUUUGAGUGUGGAAGAGGUUGGUGGAACUCCGAGUGUAGAGGUGAAAUUCGUAGAUAUUCGGAAGAACACCAGUGGCGAAGGCGGCCAACUGGUCCACUACUGACGCUGAGGUGCGAAAGCGUGGGGAGCAAACAGG